ensembl:lncRNA
GUGACAACAGCUCAUUGAUGAGAGGUUGGCAGUCCUGUGGGUGACAACAGCUCAUUGAUGAGAGGUCAGCAGUCCUGUGGGUGACAACAGCUCAUUGAUGCAUGGCUUUGCACCACAUCAACUCCCAUCAUCAAGUUUGCAGGCCUGAUAACCAACCUGUCUUACUUAUUGAUGUCAUGUUAAAUCCACUUCAAUCAGUGUAGAUGAAGGGGAGGAGACAGAUUAAAGGAUUUAAGCCUUGAGACAUGGAUUGUGUCUGAAGGCCAAGACUAGUGCCUUUGAACAGUUUCCCAAUGGUCCAUUGGGAAACUGUUGAGCGGGGAAAACCCAGCACCGUUGCACUUCUUGACACAUUCAAACAGGCGCUCCUACCCCAUUCAAAGGCACUAGUCUUGGCCAUUUCCCAACUGUGGGAAGUAAUUGGAGUCAACAUGGGCCAGCAUCCUCGUGGAACGCUGUCGACACCUAGAGUCCACGCCCCGACGUCAAGAGGGUGCAACUCAAUAUUAGGAAGGUGUUCCGUACCCUCAGUGUCUACAUUCACAUUUAAGUCAUUUAGCAGAGAGCAUUCAGUGUCG